GCGGUGGAUGAUGUGGUUUGAUUCGAUGCAACGCGAAAACCUUACCACCUUUGACAUGUACGGAACCCUUUAGAGAUAGAGGGGUGCUCGAAAGAGAACCUGCACACAGGUGCUGCAUGGCUGUCGUCAGCUCGUGUCGUGAGAUGUUGGGUUAAGUCCCGCAACGAGCGCAACCCUUGCCAUUAGUUGCUACGAAAGGGCACUCUAAUGGGACUGCCGGUGACAAACCGGAGGAAGGUGGGGAUGACGUCAAGUCCUCAUGGCCCUUAUAGGUGGGGCUACACACGUCAUACAAUGGCCGGUACAGAGGGUAGCCAACCCGCGAGGGGGAGCCAAUCCCACAAAGCCGGUCGUAGUCCGGAUCGCAGUCUGCAACUCGACUGCGUGAAGUCGGAAUCGCAAGUAAUCGCGGAUCAGCAUGUCGCGGUGAAUACGUUCCCGGGCCUU
rnacentral:rRNA from 1 species